GAUGAAGAACGCAGCGAAGUGCGAUAAGUAGUGUGAAUUGCAGAAUUUCGUGAAUCAUCGAAUCUUUGAACGCAAAUUGCACUCUCCGGUUUUCCGGGAGAGUAUGCCUGUUUGAGGGUCAGCCUAAAUAAAUUCGGCUUCGUUGCUGUGUUUCACGCACGGUAACGUUUUAGUCGGAAUUUGGGUCAUCUUAAACCGAAAGGUUUUUAAGCGACUUAAAAUUUUUUUUACGAUCCCACGAACAUUUCUAAGAUCUUCUUACACGUUCAAGGUAUCGAAAACCCAUAUUAGGCGUGGCCGUCGUAUCGGAUCGCGUCCAUAAUAUUUAUUCUUUAACUGACCUCAGACAGGUAAGAGUACCCGCUGAACUUAAGCAUAUCAAUAAGCGGAGGA
rnacentral:misc_RNA from 1 species